rnacentral:rRNA from 1 species
AUGAGAAAAGAUGAGAACUUUCAAGGCCUUGGGAAUCUUGUUGAUCUCUCAGUUAAGCUUGUUCAAACAGGGAGGCAUAUAGUUCAUAAUUUCGUGUACUUACUUCUAAAAUUGGUAUUGAUUCUACCAGUGGAAACGGCAAAUGUUGAGAGAGCAUUUUCUGCCAUGAGUUUAGUCAAAAACAAGUUGAGAAAUAAGAUGGGUGAUAGUCUUUUGGAUGACUGCCUGGUCACAUACAUUGAGUGGGAUAUUUUCUCUGAGGUGAAUGAAGAUGACAUAAUUGAUACUUUCAUGGCCAUGCAGAAGCGUAGGCCGGAAACAUAG